rnacentral:rRNA from 1 species
GAACGCUGGCGGCGUGCCUAAUACAUGCAAGUCGAGCGAACGGAUAAGGAGCUUGCUCCUUUGAAGUUAGCGGCGGACGGGUGAGUAACACGUGGGUAACCUACCUAUAAGACUGGAAUAACUUCGGGAAACCGGAGCUAAUGCCGGAUAACAUAUAGAACCGCAUGGUUCUAUAGUGAAAGAUGGUUUUGCUAUCACUUAUAGAUGGACCCGCGCCGUAUUAGCUAGUUGGUAAGGUAAUGGCUUACCAAGGCGACGAUACGUAGCCGACCUGAGAGGGUGAUCGGCCACACUGGAACUGAGACACGGUCCAGACUCCUACGGGAGGCAGCAGUAGGGAAUCUUCCGCAAUGGGCGAAAGCCUGACGGAGCAACGCCGCGUGAGUGAUGAAGGUUUUCGGAUCGUAAAACUCUGUUAUUAGGGAAGAACAAAUGCGUAAGUAACUGUGCGCAUCUUGACGGUACCUAAUCAGAAAGCCACGGCUAACUAC